rnacentral:rRNA from 1 species
UACAGAUCGUGUGAAUCAUCGAAUCUUUGAACGCACUGCGCCCGGAAGCAAUUUCGGGCACAUUCGGUUGAGUGACAAUUUUAAUUGUUGAUACCCCAGUAUCACUGUCGGCGGUUUUUGUUCCGACAAAAUCCGCUCAGAACUUAGGAAACUUGUUCGGUCCGAAUACCGUUUGUCGGAAGACUGGAAACAGAAAUUCUUACAAGCGGGGCCGCUAUUCGGUCCGAACUAACUUCUGACUUUACAUAAAAUUUCGGACUUCGGCCCGAUAACCCAAAAUUUGUCCUCAACUCGAGUGUGAUUACCCGCUGAACUUAAGCAUAUCAAUAAGCGGAGG